GGGGGACAACAGUUGGAAACGACUGCUAAUACCGCAUAAGCCCACGACCCGGCAUCGGGUAGAGGGAAAAGGAGCAAUCCGCUUUGAGAUGGCCUCGCGUCCGAUUAGCUAGUUGGUGAGGUAACGGCCCACCAAGGCGACGAUCGGUAGCCGGACUGAGAGGUUGAACGGCCACAUUGGGACUGAGAUACGGCCCAGACUCCUACGGGAGGCAGCAGUGGGGAAUAUUGGGCAAUGGGCGCAAGCCUGACCCAGCAACGCCGCGUGAAGGAAGAAGGCUUUCGGGUUGUAAACUUCUUUUAAGAGGGAAGGGGAGAAGACGGUACCUCUAGAAUAAGCCACGGCUAACUACGUGCCAGCAGCCGCGGUAAUACGUAGGUGGCAAGCGUUGUCCGGAUUUACUGGGUGUAAAGGGCGUGCAGCCGGGUCUGCAAGUCAGAUGUGAAAUCCAUGGGCUCAACCCACGAACUGCAUUUGAAACUGUAGAUCUUGAGUGUCGGAGGGGCAAUCGGAAUUCCUAGUGUAGCGGUGAAAUGCGUAGAUAUUAGGAGGAACACCAGUGGCGAAGGCGGAUUGCUGGACGAUAACUGACGGUGAGGCGCGAAAGUGUGGGGAGCAAACAGG
rnacentral:rRNA from 1 species